rnacentral:rRNA from 1 species
UGACGGUACUUGAUGAAUAAGCCACGGCUAAUUCCGUGCCAGCAGCCGCGGUAAUACGGGAGUGGCAAGCGUUAUCCGGAAUUAUUGGGCGUAAAGCGUCCGCAGGCGGUUUUACAAGUCUGUCGUUAAAGCGUGGAGCUCAACUCCAUUUCAGCGAUGGAAACUGUAAGACUCGAGUGUGGUAGGGGCAGAGGGAAUUCCCGGUGUAGCGGUGAAAUGCGUAGAUAUCGGGAAGAACACCAGUGGCGAAAGCGCUCUGCUGGGCCAUAACUGACGCUCAUGGACGAAAGCCAGGGGAGCGAAAGGGAUUAGAUACCCCUGUAGUCCUGGCCGUAAACGAUGAACACUAGGUGUCGGGGGAAUCGACCCCCUCGGUGUCGUAGCCAACGCGUUAAGUGUUCCGCCUGGGGAGUACGCACGCAAGUGUGAAACUCAAAGGAAUUGACGGGGGCCCGCACAAGCGGUGGAGUAUGUGGUUUAAUUCGAUGCAACGCGAAGAACCUUACCAGGGCUUGACAUCCUGCGAACCUCUGGGAAACCGGAGGGUGCCUUCGGGAGCGCAGAGACAGGUGGUGCAUGGCUGUCGUCAGC